GACGAACGCUGGCGGCGUGCCUAAUACAUGCAAGUAGAACGCUGAAGAGAGGAGCUUGCUCUUCUUGGAUGAGUUGCGAACGGGUGAGUAACGCGUAGGUAACCUGCCUUGUAGCGGGGGAUAACUAUUGGAAACGAUAGCUAAUACCGCAUAACAAUGGAUGACACAUGUCAUUUAUUUGAAAGGGGCAAUUGCUCCACUACAAGAUGGACCUGCGUUGUAUUAGCUAGUAGGUGAGGUAACGGCUCAUCUAGGCGACGAUACAUAGCCGACCUGAGAGGGUGAUCGGCCACACUGGGACUGAGACACGGCCCAGACUCCUACGGGAGGCAGCAGUAGGGAAUCUUCGGCAAUGGGGGCAACCCUGACCGAGCAACGCCGCGUGAGUGAAGAAGGUUUUCGGAUCGUAAAGCUCUGUUGUAAGUCAAGAACGAGUGUGAGAGUGGAAAGUUCACACUGUGACGGUAGCUUACCAGAAAGGGACGGCUAACUACGUG
rnacentral:rRNA from 1 species